GUGGAUAUAGCUCAGGGGUAGGGUGUGUGCUUGGCAUGCAUAAAGUCCUGGGUUCAAUCCCCAGUACCUUCA
rnacentral:tRNA from 1 species